GACAAGUUUCUUAAAGUGUUGUUAACAUAUUAUUUCAUUCCAGCUAAUUUUUAUUCUUUGUUUUUCACGGAUUAAAUUUACUUCGGACUUCAGCUCCAAAUGUCCACCGGAAAAUCACACAGCGAUUUACAGUCGCGCUUCGCGAAAAUCCCCCGGCCUCAGAUUGAUUUGCCACUUACUCCGCCGCCCUUCAAUUUCAUGAUUGAAAUGGCUACCGAAAAUCACAUUCAGGGCAUCUACAACAUUCUCACCUGUUCUUUUCUGCCCUCGGACCCUGUGUUCGCCAGUCUGAUGCAGAGAGGAGAG